rnacentral:tmRNA from 1 species
GGGCUGAUUCUGGAUUCGACGGGAUUUGCGAAACCCAAGGUGCAUGCCGAGGGGCGGUUGGCCUCGUAAAAAGCCGCAAAAAAUAGUCGCAAACGACGAAAACUACGCUUUAGCAGCUUAAUAACCUGCUUAGAGCCCUCUCUCCCUAGCCUCCGCUCUUAGGACGGGGAUCAAGAGAGGUCAAACCCAAAAGAGAUCGCGUGGAAGCCCUGCCUGGGGUUGAAGCGUUAAAACUUAAUCAGGCUAGUUUGUUAGUGGCGUGUCCGUCCGCAGCUGGCAAGCGAAUGUAAAGACUGACUAAGCAUGUAGUACCGAGGAUGUAGGAAUUUCGGACGCGGGUUCAACUCCCGCCAGCCCACCA